ACGUAGGUGGCAAGCGUUGUCCGGAAUCACUGGGCGUAAAGGGCGCGUAGGUGGCUCGUUAAGUGGCUGGUGAAAUCCCGGGGCUCAACUCCGGGGCUGCCGGUCAGACUGGCGGGCUAGAGCACGGUAGGGGCAGAUGGAAUUCCGGGUGUAGCGGUGGAAUGCGUAGAGAUCCGGAAGAACACCGGUGGCGAAGGCGG
rnacentral:rRNA from 1 species